UUCCUUCUCUUGAUCGCUGAAAGUUUCUGUUUUUUUUUCUUGUUCUCUUGCUCUUAGACGAACAAAUUCACAGAUUUGAAAGCAUGUUUCCUUCUGUCAAGUUUUUCUCCACUGCCGGCUUUCAUUUUCCUAAGCUCGGUUUUCAUGAGUCUUCGAUUUCUUCGUAUGCCGAGUCUUUUCCGCUACUAAAACUUUUGGUUGAUCGCUGAAAGUUCCGUUUUUUUCUUGUUCUCUUGCUCUUAGACAACCAAAUUCAUGAAUUUGAGAGCAUGUUAAUGUGAAAGCAUUUUUGCUUCUCAUACCAUGUCAAGUUCUUUCGUCUUUCAUUUUCUGAAGCUUUCAUGACAUUUUUGAGUCUUCGGUUUCUUCGGAGUCUUUUCCGCUACUAAAGCUUCUUCCAGCGUUUUGUUUCUAACCAGCGCCGUGCUCGUUUACAGAGUAGCUAUGGCGAGC
rnacentral:lncRNA from 1 species